rnacentral:lncRNA from 1 species
GGGAGUGUUAAGAAUAUAAUUCUAUUUGGAGUGAAUGUCUAUCUUGUAGAGAGUUUUACUUUGAUGCUAAGUCAUUUUUCCUUGUAUAAAUAGAGGGGUCUUACCCCAGUGUAAACCACCCCAAAAUUCAAUAAGAAUUCUCUCUCUUACUCUGCAAUAUUGCUCUUCUUCUUUUAUUAUUUUAUAACAGUAACUUAUUUAAACUAAAAACAAUAACUUAUUUAACUUAAAAAGGUAACUUGUUCAACCUAAAAAAAUAAUAACCCAUUUAACCAAAACAGUAGCUUAUUUUACCUAAAUAACUGUGUAAUUAUACUUAUAAUAAAACUAGAAUUAAACUAACAAUCCUAAUUAGGACAAAACAUUUAGAAAAGAAUUAUUUUUUAAAACAUAGAAGAAGAAUUAUUUGACUGAAGAAGAAAAAGAAGAAGCACAAAAUAAAAGAAAUAAGGGAGAUGAAUUACCUAAUUGAAACUCGAGCAAAUCAGCAAAGGCGGAAUCCGACGGGCCAAAUGAGCUUUGGCAAGUAAGGAGCAUUGUCCCACGAGCAUUGGUCAGAAUUUCUUCAUACGGCCAAUGUUUACGUAGCAAUUCCCAUCGCAUACCGAAAAAAAAAGAGAACAACGAUCAAAAUGGAUUCUAACCGGUCAAUAUGAAUUUGACCAAACUCAAAUGGCAAUGAGGCAAGGUAGAAAUGCCCACAAUUUGUGGUAUUCAGAGAAUGGAGUCGACUGAUGUAAAUUUUGACUUCAAACGGGCUAAAAAUCAAAAGAAAUUAGAAAAGGGGACGAAUUAAGUUAUUAGUAAUUCCAGAGUUGAAAUGACGGGCUUGGUGAGGAUUUUGGGAAACUAGUGGGAGAUUAGUGAUGAGGGAGGUGUGGGGAAUAUGGUAUAAAGAUUUGUGAUGGUUUGGAGCAUUUGCUGCCGCGUGGGCGAUUUCCGUCGGCAGCCAGCGGCGGAGGUUUAGAGAGAGGUGAAAGGAAGGAAACAAAGGUCUUCUCUAGUGCUUGGGGGGAGGNNN